GUUAAAACUGAUGUAAGUUAAAGCUGUAAUGAAUGUUCAUUAUAUUGUAUGCUGUCAUUGGAUCAAUGAGGAAGAACCUGGACAGGAAACUGUAACUAAUCCACUUGUGAAGUAUUCCCUUUUUACUUCCAAUUCUCAGGUGUCCUACAUUAGCCAAGACUGUGAAGAAAUUCCAGAAUUCCUGGGAAGAAAAUACGGACAUAUGGCAAAAAGGCUAGAUCUUAGUUUCAACUUGUUAAGAUGGACUGAAGACCAGUGUGAUGAUGGAUUCGCUUUCUGUGUGGUAUUUCCUCAUCACUGCUGUUGUGCAAGAAGAACGAAGGACUGCAGAAAUAACUGUUGUCUGAGGACAAGGAGCUUAACCGAAAGGAAGAAUCUACAUUAA
rnacentral:lncRNA from 1 species